UGUACCUACGGGGCGCAGCAGUGGGGAAUAUUGGGCAAUGGGCGCAAGCCUGACCCAGCAACGCCGCGUGAAGGAAGAAGGCUUUCGGGUUGUAAACUUCUUUUGUCAGGGACGAAGCAAGUGACGGUACCUGACGAAUAAGCCACGGCUAACUACGUGCCAGCAGCCGCGGUAAUACGUAGGUGGCAAGCGUUAUCCGGAUUUACUGGGUGUAAAGGGCGUGUAGGCGGGGAGGCAAGUCAGAUGUGAAAACCACGGGCUCAACCUGUGGCCUGCAUUUGAAACUGUUUUUCU
rnacentral:rRNA from 1 species